rnacentral:rRNA from 1 species
AACGAACGCUGGCGGCAGGCUUAACACAUGCAAGUCGAACGCCCCGCAAGGGGAGUGGCAGACGGGUGAGUAACGCGUGGGAAUCUACCCAGUUCUACGGAAUAACCCAGGGAAACUUGGACUAAUACCGUAUACGCCCUACGGGGGAAAGAUUUAUCGGAAUUGGAUGAGCCCGCGUUGGAUUAGCUAGUUGGUGAGGUAAUGGCUCACCAAGGCGACGAUCCAUAGCUGGUCUGAGAGGAUGAUCAGCCACACUGGGACUGAGACACGGCCCAGACUCCUACGGGAGGCAGCAGUGGGGAAUAUUGGACAAUGGGCGAAAGCCUGAUCCAGCCAUGCCGCGUGAGUGAUGAAGGCCUUAGGGUUGUAAAGCUCUUUCAGUGGGGAAGAUAAUGACGGUACCCACAGAAGAAGCCCCGGCUAACUUCGUGCCAGCAGCCGCCGUAAGAC